GUAAUAAAAAUGCAAUAAAAAGUUAGUAUGAUACAUAAAAAUAUAAACUGAGAUCGAAUAAAACUGUCCGAGUAUUAAUUAUGUUGAAAAGCCUGUCUGAAUAAAUAAGUUUUUAUGUUUUCUUGAAAGCAUUCACAGAUUCAGUGUUUCACAAUUCUUUCGGCAAGUCAUUCCAUAAAACGGCGGCCGCUCUAUCAAACCGUCUCUCUCCGUAUGUUUUGUUUCUUACUAUUGGUUUGACUAGAAGCAUGUUGUUUUCUGACCGAAGAGUUCUUGUUGGCUUGUAAAUGUUAACUAGAUCUUGAAGGUACACGGGUGCUUCUUGUUUCAGAGCUUUAAACACAUAAAGCAACACUUUGUAUUUGCAUCGAUAUGCUACCGGCAGCCAAUGAAGAGAUUUUAAAAUUGGACUAACGUGUUCGUUUUUCUUCUUUCUUGUUAUUAAUUUUGCGGCGGUGUUUUGGACACGCUGUAAUCGUUGGAUUGCAUUUGCGGGAAGUCCA
rnacentral:lncRNA from 1 species